GUUUCGCCCGCCGGUCUUUCCUCCUCCCGGAUCGGUCGGGCCAUGAAGGUGCACGGCACCUCCUCCCUUGCCGCACCUUCAUUCGAAGAACACCCGCCGGUCCUCCCCCGGCGGGUGUUUUUC
rnacentral:sRNA from 1 species